CCACUGUCGCCAUGGGCGCUCCAUUACUACAAACAAGUUGGGUUGGAAAAUUGUUUGUGAAACUUCCAGGGCGAGCAAUGGAGAAACACUUAAGGCCAGUGUUCACUCUGGAGUUGGGAUAUAAAAUCCUGGCAGGUCUGGUGACUAUUGGGAAAUUCGAUGGGACGCAUCCCUGCCUGACGGCAGCCACCAGCACAGACAAAGUGGGCGUCAACAGAGGAUUCGAGCAAGUUAAGCUGGCGCUUGUUUUGCAGGUUCUGAUCCACAGUCCGCAUCGCAGAAACGCUUCUGAGGUGGGAAAACUGGUCUGGUCGGAAUACAACAAGGAAAUCGCCACUUUGAACGUGAAUCAACCGGUCACCGCCCUGCAGGCUGGCCAGCUGAUUCCAGGCUCGGACAAAGACAUUCUAGCUAUCGGCACCGCAAGCAACCUGCUAGUCUACCACGUGCACGACAACAAGGACAUUUUCUACAAAGAAUGUGAGGAUGGAGUCCGAUCGAUCACCAUCGGCCAGUUCCACCAGUUCAAGAGCAACAUCUUGCUGGUUGGAGGAAACUCAUCGAUCCAUGGCUACGACCAUACCGGUCAGGACGUGUUCUGGGUGGCCAUCGGCGACAUCGUCACCGCCCUGGUCCUAAUGGACUACAACCUGGAUGGCAGCAAUGAGCUGAUUGUCAGCUCAGAAGACUACAACAUCCGCGUUCUGAGCGGCGACAAUGUGAUAGCCGAGCACAACGAAACCGAAGUGGUUUCCGGACUAUCCGGCCUACCGGAUCAGAGGUUCGCCUACUCAGUAUCCAAUGGGACUGUGGGCGUUUACGAGAGGAAAUCGCGACUUUGGCGCGUCAAGUCGAAGAACUUUGCGGUUUCGAUGCAUCAGUACGACCUGCUGGGCCAGGCGGCUGCUCAGCUGAUCACUGGCUGGUCCAAUGGGAAGAUCGACUGCAGAAACUUCAACACUGGCGAAGUGCUGUUCAAGGACUCCAUGCCCUCCAGCCUGGCGGGAAUUGUGGAAGGCGACUACCGAUCAAUGGGCAGGAAUGACUUGAUUUGCGUCUCAACUGAAGGAGAAGUUCGAGGCUACACCACAACAAAAUCAAUGAGCAGCACCGGCUCCUCCAACGUAGAACAGGACACUAUUAAGGAUCUGCUCACGCAAAAACAGGCCUUGUUGAUGGAGCUGAAGCACUAUGAAAGCAACAGCAAGUACAACAGCAAUGCGGCCAACGAAACUGAGAGUUAUGAAGCAAGUGGAAUUAUUCCAUCAAAUACUCGGCUGCAGAUUGUGGUCACUGCCAACGUUGGAGAAGGCGAUGUGAAGCCCCAUAUUGAGGUCUACAUCUGCACCAACAACUCAACCAUCAUCAAGGCAGUGAUCAUUUUCGCUGAAGGAAUUUUCAGCGGCGAAAGCCACGUGGUCCAUCCAGAACUGUCCAGACUGGCCUCCGAUAUGUCCGUCCCCCUGUAUCUCCCACGGGACACUUUCGUGGAUAUUCACCUGAAGGCGUUGGUCGGAUACCCAAACAGUAUCCAGUUUCAUGUCUUUGAGGUCACCAAGCAGCUACCAGCGUUUUCCAUGUAUGCCCUGGGAGUGAAUGAGGAAGCCACCAGGCCUAAAGGGUUCGUCCAGUUCAAAACGGCCGAGCGUCUGCAAAGAAUCUGCCUGUGGAUAAACCAGAACUUCAUUUUCCCGGACGACAUCGAGUUUGAAUCCGGGCCCACCUUGCAGCUCACCAUCAAAUGCCUACGGGACUCCACUGACUUGGUGAUGCUCUUUGAAGUCUCUGGCAGAACCACCUUUUUUUGCAACAACAUGUUUCUGGCCGCUGACCUGGUGCAGUCUCUGGCCGGGUACUUGAAGCUGGAUAACUUGCAGUCAAGGGCGUCCUUCGAGCAAGAGGAGGACAACCUGAAGCAGCUGAUGCAGAAGCUGAGCGACAUCCAAGAAGCUCGCUUGAAGCUGGAUACGGAUGUAGCUGACCAACUGGGGCGCAUCAGGAACCUGAUAAUCCGCGCAGAAGACUGCAGGAUCAACGACAUGUUAGUUGAAUGCUCUUGUUAUUGUAGGCAAAGACAUGAUGAGCAAUUAUCAUGAACUGAGCGGAGUGAAUAAGGCGCUGAUCAGCGGCUACAACAUCAAGGCCCAGAACUACAACGAGGGCAUUGAAACGAUGAAACGAAUCAACCAAAUCAUCCAAAAGGCGUCCAGGCUAAGAGUUGGACAACAUUCGGCAGUUAUGAUUAAUCAUUGCAGAAACGCCAUCAAGAACAACAACAUUGAAGGCCUAAUUAAGAUAAUUCGCACUGGGGAACUGUAGACUUUGAGUCCCAGCUCCAGAUAGAUGACUUAGUUAAUUGGCUAAAAACAAUAAAGUGAAAAAUCUUAUCCGUAUGCACAUACGGCAUGUUAUUGCUGCACCUAAUUAACAUCAGAGUGCGGUUUAAGUACACAGAAACAGAAGAAAGUGGGCCAAGGGCCCGCGCUGCGGCCCCAAAGGAAAAUAAAUAAUUGCUCAUAUCAAACA
rnacentral:misc_RNA from 1 species